AUGAACGCUGGCGGCGUGCCUAAUCCCUGCAAGUCGCGCGAACAGACGAGGAGCUUGCUCCUCUGACGUUAGCGGCGGACGGGUGAGUAACACGUGGAUAACCUACCUAUAAGACUGGGAUAACUUCGGGAAACCGGAGCUAAUACCGGAUAACAUGUUGAACCGCAUGGUUCAACAGUGAAAGACGGUCUUGCUGUCACUUAUAGAUGGAUCCGCGCCGCAUUAGCUAGUUGGUAAGGUAACGGCUUACCAAGGCAACGAUGCGUAGCCGACCUGAGAGGGUGAUCGGCCACACUGGAACUGAGACACGGUCCAGACUCCUACGGGAGGCAGCAGUAGGGAAUCUUCCGCAAUGGGCGAAAGCCUGACGGAGCAACGCCGCGUGAGUGAAGAAGGUCUUCGGAUCGUAAAACUCUGUUAUUAGGGAAGAACAAAUGUGUAAGUAACUAUGCACGUCUUGACGGUACCUAAUCAGAAAGCCACGGCUAACUACGUG
rnacentral:rRNA from 1 species